AGCGAACGCUGGCGGCAGGCUUAACACAUGCAAGUCGAGCGGGCCUUCCGGGGUCAGCGGCGGACGGGUGAGUAACGCGUGGGAACGUGCCCUCUGGUUCGGAAUACCUCAGGGAAACUUGAGCUAAUACCGGAUACGCCCUUUUGGGGAAAGGCUUGCUGCCGGAGGAUCGGCCCGCGUCUGAUUAGCUGGUUGGUGAGGUAACGGCUCACCAAGGCGACGAUCAGUAGCUGGUCUGAGAGGAUGAUCAGCCACGCUGGGACUGCGACACGGCCCAGACUCCUACGGGAGGCAGCAGUGGGUAAUAUUGGACAAUGGGCGCAAGCCUGAUCCAGCCAUGCCGCGUGAGUGAUGAAGGCCUUAGGGUUGUAAAGCUCUUUUAUCCGGGACGAUAAUGACGGUACCGGAGGAAUAAGCCCCGGCUAACUUCGUG
rnacentral:rRNA from 1 species